rnacentral:rRNA from 1 species
UAUGGUCACACCACCCUGAACGCACCGGAUCUCAUCUGAUCUCGGAAACUAGGCAGGGUCUGGUCUGGGGAGUACUUGGAUGGGACAGGAUUAAAUACAGAGUGCUUGGGAACACGGAGAAGGGCCAUGA